rnacentral:rRNA from 1 species
UACGUAGGGUGCGAGCGUUGUCCGGAAUUACUGGGCGUAAAGAGCUCGUAGGUGGUUUGUCGCGUUGUUCGUGAAAACUCACAGCUUAACUGUGGGCGUGCGGGCGAUACGGGCAUCACUAGAGUUCGGCAGGGGAGACUGGAAUUCCUGGUGUAGCGGUGAAAUGCGCAGAUAUCAGGAAGAACACCAAUGGCGAAAGCAGCUCUCUGGGACGGUACUGACGCUGAGACGCGAAAGCGUGGGGAGCGAACAGG